UAUUAUUCAACGAGAUUUCCCACCAUGAGGCCACUGGCACCAGUGUGUAAAGCUUGUGCCAAUCACUGUCAGGUGUUUUUGGAAAGACAGACCCCUAGGAAAGGUGAGAGCCUUGUAUUUUAAGCACUGGGAUCUGUGUUUGGCUGGUAAUAUAGAGGAGGACGUACCACACAAAGUGAGUCGGGGUUGCAAAUAGGCUCCUGGCAUCCGUGGUUAGUUGUAUGACUGCCAGUGGCUGUAUUUUACCUUCCAUCCCACCAGUGGGGCCUCCAGUUAAUUCAGCAGAGAUGUAGCCUGCACUGUAACUGAUGGCAUUGUAGACAUGGCUCUAAAAACUGAGUAAGUGUAAAUAGAAGAGCUUUUUUCCCAUUUGUGCUCUGAUUGCCUUAUUGACAUUUUGCAGCAUUGACAUUUUUCCUCUGUACUUGGUUUUUGUAAAUUUCUUCCCAAUACACUGGAAAUGUUGGAAGUGGCAGCUUUAUUUACUGAUGCUUUUAAACUUACUGUUUGUUUCUUUCUUUUUCUUUUUUUUUUUUCCUGGAAAGGUGGUGGGCUCCUUGGAGGAAGAACUCUGUGCCCAGCUGGCUCCUGGGGAAAUGGACUGUUCUUAGCAUUUCUCAUGUCAAUGUUUUUACUAGCAUUUCUUUCUGUUUUAUGAUUAUUUCCUGUUCUUAAUGUGUUGUGUUCUGUAUGUCAUAGCAAGCUUUUAAGUCUUUGUUUUGUAGAUAAUGGUAAAUAAAUUUUUUCUGAGUUGUUUUUUCAACAGGUGUGAGUUGUGUUCAGAGCACAGCAAAUCCUCUUUCCUAACUGUUUGGUGUGAUGCCCCGGAAUGUUUGCUGAAGUGUGAUCAGCAGAGCAGGUGCUGCUGAUUUUUACUGCAGUAGUACCAGUCGGAAGGGGAAGAGCAAAAGUGAGGAAAAACUUGUGGAUAAAGCAAAAGCCACGUGCAAAAGCAAACCAAAAGAAGGCUCCUGUAGGGGAAAAGCCCUUGGGAGCAGCGGAUGUUGUUUACUUGGUUCUGGAGGUGGUAAGUAGGAGGAGAAGAGAGUUCAGAGCAGGUAAGUGUGUGUACUUCUGGACAGUACCAUGAAGAAAUGAUUUUCAUGUGGCUUCUGCUGGUGAAGGCUGCUGGUGAGGGUUCCUACGUUGCCUUAGUGUUGAGCACUAGUUCAACCCUGGCAUCGAUGCUUUGGGUUUACUGCGCGUGAGAAGGUUCCAGUCCCACGUGGCACCAACCACCACACAGCCUUGUUGCAGUGUGUGCCUGAUGAUAUUGCCUGGAAGCUCUUCAAGUAAAGCUUUUCCGGGUGAGCUCCUGUUGUUGGGUAGUCGCGUUUACAAACCCAAGUCUCCCUGUUUGUUAGCAAUGGACCUGCUGCUUUGCAAUGAGGAAGGGCUCUCUUCUAGCUGUGGCUAGAUGUGAUCUAGAUGAAAACCAGAGGAAUGGACUUCAGCUAGUGAUGUCCAACAGACUCAUGAAACUGCCUUCUGGUUUCAGCAGUCUGGGGUUUCUUGUAAGAUUGCCGACCGCAUGUGUCACAACAGAAUUGCUUUGGUUUAACAGAAAACUGUCAGGACUGCUGAUUUUCUUUUGCCUGCCUCCAUCACAAGCGUGCUACUCCGGGAUCUGAUUCACUUCUCUUAGAUCUGAGCAGUUUUCAGCUCUGGAAGGAUUUGUGGUAUUGGUGUAAUGGUAACUUCACUGCAAUCUGAUCAGGCACUUCUUUAGAAAUAGUCAGCCGUGCGGUUGUGAAGGGACUGAAAACACAAUCAAGGGGCUGACAGAGGCCUUGGCAUGGGUUGACUGAAUUUCAGCCUGGCGAUGAGAAGGCUCUGGAAUACAGCUGCUCUGUCUCGAGGGAAACCAUCGGUCCUCGGGCAACUUCGUGCAUUAC